AUGAGGACCAAGAAGCAGGUUCUCUGCUCCUUCUGGGAUCUCCACCUGGUUCAGCCCGCCUGCUUCCACUCCUGCCUCCACCAUCUCCAUCACAAGUCCUACAAGGUGUCCACCUCUGGCCCCCGAGGCUUCAGCAGCCACUCCUACAUGAGCGGGCCCGGUGCCUGCAUCAGCUCCUUGAGCUUCUCCAGAGUGGGCAGCCGCAGCUUCCAGGGUGGCCUGGGCAGAGGCUAUGGUGGGGCCAGCGGCAUGGAGGCAUCACCACCGUCAUGGUCAACCAGAGCCUGCUGAGCCCCCUUAACCUGGUGGUGGACCUCAACAUCCAGGCCGUGAGCACCCAGGAGGAGCAGAUCAAGACCUUCAACAAGUUUGCCUCCUUCAUAGACAAGGUACAGUACCUGAAGCAGCAGAAGAUGCUGGAGACCAAGUGGAGCCUCCUGGUGCAGCAUAAGAUGGCUCGGAGCAACAUGGACAACAUGUUGGAGAACUACAUCAACAACCUGAGGCGGCAGCUGGAGACUCUGGGCCAGGAGAAGCUGAAGCUGGAGGCAGAGCUUUGCAACAUGCAGGGGCUGGUGGAGGACUUCAAGAACAACUAUGAGGAUGAGCUCAAUACGGGUACUUACAGAGAUGGAGAAUGAAUUUGUCCUCAUCAAGAAGGAUGUGGAUGAAACUUACAUGAACAAGGUAGAGCUAGAGUCUCGCCUGGAAGGGCUGACUGACGAGAUCAACUUCCUCAGGCAGCUCUAUGAAGAGGAGAUCCAGGAGCUGCAGUCCCAGAUCUCGGACACAUCUGUGGUGCUGUCCAUGUACAACAGCCACUCCCUGGACAUGGACAGCAUCAUUGCUGAGGUCAAGGCGCAUUAUGAGGAGACUGCCAACCGCAGCCAGGCUGAGGCUGAGAGCAUGUACCAGAUCAAGUAUGAGGAGCUGCAGAUGCUGGCUGGGAAGCACAGGGGUGACCUGCGGUGUCCAAAGACCAAGAACUCUGAGACGAACUGGAACAUCAGCCAGCUUGAGCCACCGCGCCCGGCCGAGAUUGAGGGUCUUAAAGGCCAGAGGGCUUCCCUGGAGGCCGCCAUCGCAGAUGCUGAGCAGCCGGGGGAGCUGGCCGUUAAGGAUGCCAACGCCAAGCUGUCCGAGCUGGAGGCAGCCCUGCAGCAGGCCAAACAGGACCUGGUGUGGCAGCUGUGUGAGUACCCAGAGCUGAUGAAUGUCAAGCUGGCCCUGGACAUCGAGAUCGCCACCUACAGGAAGCUGCUGGAGGGCGAGGAGAGCCGGCUAGAGUCUGGGACGCAGAACAUGAGUAUCCAUAUGAAGACCACCAGCGGCUACGCAGGUGAUCUGAGCUUGGCCUCUGGGGGCCUCACAAGACUCAGCCUCGGCUACGGCACGGGCUCCAGCUCCUUCAGCUGCACCAGCUCCAUCAGGGCCAUGGUUGUGAUGAAGAUCGAGACCCGCGAUGGGAAGCUGGUGUCUGAGUCCUCUGAUGUCCUGCCCAAGUGAACAGCUGCAGCAGCCCCUCCCAGCCUGCCCCUCCUGUGGCUUCCCUAGAGCCCAGGAGGGAGGCCACUGUGCAGGGGAGCACAGGGAACAGGAGACCCACCUGAGGCUCAGCCCCAGCCCUCAGUCCACCUGCGGGGGAGUUUACUGCCUGGGGACCCCCCUUGUCCAUGCCUCCAGCUACAAAACAAUUCAACUGCCUUUUUUUUGGUCCAAAAUAAAACCUCAGCUAGCUCUGCAAAAAAAAAAAA